AUUGAACGCUGGCGACAUGCCUAACACAUGCAAGUCGAACGGCAGCACGGGUGCUUGCACCUGGUGGCGAGUGGCGAACGGGUGAGUAAUACAUCGGAACACGUCCCGUAGCGGGGGGUAGCGCGGCGAAAGCCGGAUUAAUACCGCAUAAGAACUACGGAAGACAGCGGGGGCCCCUGGGGACUCGCGCUAUAGGGUUGGCCGAUGGCUGAUUAGCUAGUUGGUGGGGUAAAGGCCUACCAAGGCGACGAGCAGUAGCUGAUCUGAGAGGAGGACAGGUCACACUGGGACUGAGACACGGCCCAGACUCCUACGGGAGGCAGCAGUGGGGAAUUGUGGACAAUGGGCGAAAGCCUGAUCCAGCAAUGCCGCGUGUGUGAAGAAGGCCUUCGGGUUGUAAAGCACUUUUGUCCGGAAAGAAAUCCUUGGCCCUAAUACGGUCGGAGGAUGACGGUACCGGAAGAAUAAGCACCGGCUAACUACGUG
rnacentral:rRNA from 1 species